rnacentral:rRNA from 1 species
UAAAUACCGGAUAGAAAGCAGAUCGCAUGAUCAGCUUUUAAAAGGACGGCGUAAAGCUGUCGCUAUGGGGAUGGCCCCGCGGUGCAUUAGCUAGUUGGUAAGGCAAAGGCUUACCAAGGGCGAUGAUGCAUAGCCCGAGUUGAGAGACUGAUCGGCCACAUUGGGGACUGAGACACGGGCCCAAACUCCUACGGGAGGGCAGCAGUAGGGAAUCUUCCACAAUGGACGCAAGUCUGAUGGAGCAAACGCCGCGUGAGUGAAGAAGGUUUUCGGAUCGUAAAGCUCUGUUGUUGGUGAAGAAGGAUAGAGGUAGUAACUGGCCCUUUAUUUGACGGUAAUCAACCAGAAAGUCACGGGCUAACUACGUGCCAGCAGCCGCGGUAAAU